GGAGCUAUUCCAAUGAACUAGGGUUUGUUUCCUGCAAAGAGACUGUCCCUGCGGCCUUUCUCUAACCCCGCUUCCCAACCGCAAGAGACGCCAUGGCGUUUUACUUGGAGGUGGACCCCGUCACCCUGAACCUGAUCAUCCUGGUCGUGAGCUACGUCAUCUUGCUCCUGGUAUUCCUCAUCUCCUGCGCGCUGUACGACUGCCGAGGCAAGGACCCCAGCACGCAGUCCACGCCCGAGGCCACGCUCGAUGCCCAGCCCUCCAUCCGCUUGGUGGUGAUGCAGCAAAGCGCGCCAGGGGGCCCCUGGGCCAGGGGACCCGACCUUCAUUUUGGAAAUCCCGCUCCCCUAGGGAAGAAAAGCACGGUGGUGUGAGGCUGGCUGCGGGGUCCUGGGGAGAGGGCACAGGACAUUCUGGACAAGCCAUUCCCCCAGGGGCUCCGGCCCUGGCGGCGCACAGGUCCUGCUGGGCCACCUGAGUGGGAGCCCCAUCUCAGUGUCUGCUUCCUCGGCACCCUCUGUGGAGAAAGCAACCCUUAAGGGCGUGAAUCAAUCAUGACGCCAUUAUCAUGCUUGUACUUCACUGUUGUUGCCCGUGCAGCACAGAUGCAGGUGGAGUUACGUCAGUGUGGAAGCCACCACAUGGACCUACCGACCGCCAUCCAUCCAUUCAACAGACAUCUCUACUGAACCUCCAGGAAGAUGCCUGCAAGUCGCUCCUUGACUGCCGAUGUCUAUGAGGACUCUGCGCUUGGGUGCAUCCACAUUCCUCAUUCUCCGUUCGCCUUGGCACAGAACCAGGGGGCUGCUGCUCCAGGUUCCAAUGGUGGCCCAGUCGCUAACUUCCUGGGAGGCAUGACCCUCUCUUGCUCCUCUACGAAAAGAAAGCCUUGAAGUUAAUGGACAGCCCUCCAAGGUCCUUCUGGCUCUGGCCUUCUGGCCUUGCACCCUUCCUCUUUCCUGGCCUUUCCUCUCUCUCCCCACCUGGGCCCUGUGGAACGAAGCAGUGAGUGACAGGGGGGCUUGUUCUGAAAAGCUGCUGUGGCUGUGGCAUCGCUGCUGCUCAGGGAGCAGCAAAGGGAAGCUGAGCAGAGGGGUGAGUCUUUUUCCUGCACAGGAGGCAUGCACAUUCCCCAUUUCCUGACAUGUUUUCCGUCUGACAUUUCCAAUAACAGUCCCCACGUGGGUGCUUCUUCAAGGCAGGUCUGUUUUGCACCCUUUGGGAGGAGCAUCUUCCGUGACAAAUGAUCUCAGUUCAGGCAUAUGGCGAUGCGCUGAUUUCCUGGUUGCCAGGAUGUAUGAACACACUUAUUGUCCCCAAAUGUAAAAAUAAUGAACUUACCACUGUGCCUGGAACGUCGACAAUGUGAAACAGAUUUGAUUUAUUGGAGCCUCGGAGACCAUCCUUAAUGUGUAGCAGAACAUUGCCUUUUAUUUCCAUCCAAAGUGAAUUUCAAUU